rnacentral:misc_RNA from 1 species
UAUUGAAGCUCCAUCUACAAAUGGAUAAGAUUUCUGUCUUAGUGUAGACGAGGUUUUGAAAAUAACGGAGUAAUACGACCCUCUUGCAAGAGGGUCGUAUUGCUCCGUUAUUUAGUAGGUUUUUCUUGAGUAGUUUUUUAUUUACAUCCUUUUUUUAUGAAAAGUAUUUUUAUGCUUUUUCUUUGAUUUAGUAUAAUAUUUUUGUUAUAGUUAUGCGUUAAUAUUCGUUAUGUGCCAAUAUAAUAAUAUUAGUUAUGUUUUAAUAACACUAAUAACAUUCGAAUUUUAUUAAUUCGAUUUUUAGAAUUUUAUACUUAAUUUAAUAUAUAAAGUAAAAGAAAAGAGAAAGGUUGUAAUUUUAUGCCUCUUCGAUCUUCACUUCUAUUUUGAUAAAUAAGUAAGAUAAAAAAAUAAUGAUCCGUGAUAUAAAUAGAAAUCUUUGUAUUUUUAAUUUUGUAGGAAGGAGGGGCGGAUG